rnacentral:rRNA from 1 species
AUGAACGCUGGCGACGUGGAUAAGGCAUGCAAGUCGAGUGGUCCGAUGUAACAUCGGACCACGGCGAACGAGGUAGUAAUACGCAGGAACGUCCCCUAGAGUCGGGCAUAAUCAGCCGAAAGGUUGGCUAAUUCCCGAUAGACCCUUACCGUAAAAAGUGUAGGGUAAAGGCGCAAGCCGCUCUGGGAUCGGCCUGUGGGCUAUCAGCUAGUUGGUAGGGUAAUGGCCUACCAAGGCGAUGACGGCUAGGGGGGGUGAGAGCCUGUUCCCCACCGAUGGUACUGCGACACGGACCAUACACCUACGGGUGGCAGCAGCCGAGAAUCUUCCGCAAUGGGCGAAAGCCUGACGGAGCGACGUCGCGUGGUGGAUGAAGCCCUUCGGGACGUAAACACCUUUUAUUAGGGAGAAAAUACCGACGUAAGUCGGGAUGUGAUAGUACCUGAUGAAUAAGGGGUUGCUAAACUCGU